rnacentral:rRNA from 1 species
GACGAACGCUGGCGGCGUGCUUAACACAUGCAAGUCGAACGGAAAGACCAUGCGCUUGCGGGGUUCACGAGAGCCGAACGGGUGAGUGACACGUGAGUAACAUGCCCCUAACUUUGUGAUAUCAUCAGGAGACUGGGGAUAAAACCGGGUAGAAGCUCCUGCUGCAUGGUGUGGGUUGGAAAGUGUCGGCGUUUGUGGCUGGACUCGCGGCGUAUCAGCUUGUUGGUGGGGUAGUGGCUUACCAAGGCUUCGACGGGUAGCCGACCUGAGAGGGUGAUCGGCGACACUGGAAGUGAGCCACGGACCAGAGUCCUACGGGACGGAGCAGUAGGGAAUGGGCGGCAAUGGGCGGAAGCUUGACGGAGCAACGCCGCGCGAGUGGUGAAGGUCUUCGGAGCGUAAAACUCUGUUAUUAGGGAAGAACAAAUGUGGAAUGAACUAUGCACGGCGUGACGGUACCGAAUCAGAAAGCCACGGCUAACUACGUG